CUGGAAAGCUUACAAGCUCAGAAGACUGUAUUUCAUUUGGGUUUGCAGAGAGAUUCAAUCCUUCCGCUGGUUUGCAGACUUACUCUGUGUGCUGCAUAACAAGUUUUGGCAAGAGAACAGGCCUGACUAUGUUAACAUCCAGCUGUACCUCAGUCAAACAGAUGGCAUACAG